UUAUUGGAGAGUUUGAUCCUGGCUCAGGACGAACGCUGGCGGCGUGCCUAAUACAUGCAAGUCGAGCGAGUCCCUUCGGGGGCUAGCGGCGGACGGGU
rnacentral:rRNA from 1 species